GUCCCUGGAAGGUACAGUUAACGUACUUGACUACUAAUCAAUAGGCUGGAGGUUUGAAUCCACCCAGAGGCA
rnacentral:tRNA from 1 species